rnacentral:tRNA from 1 species
GUCCCUGUAGCUUAAGAUAAAGCAUGACACUGAAGAUGUCAAGACGGCUGUCACACACACCCAAGGACA